GACGAACGCUGGCGGCGUGCCUAAUACAUGCAAGUCGAACGCACUCUCGUUUAGAUUGAAGGAGCUUGCUCCUGAUUGAUAAACAUUUGAGUGAGUGGCGGACGGGUGAGUAACACGUGGGUAACCUGCCCUAAAGUGGGGGAUAACAUUUGGAAACAGAUGCUAAUACCGCAUAAAACCUAACACCGCAUGGUGUAGGGUUGAAAGAUGGUUUCGGCUAUCACUUUAGGAUGGACCCGCGGUGCAUUAGUUAGUUGGUGAGGUAAAGGCUCACCAAGACCGUGAUGCAUAGCCGACCUGAGAGGGUAAUCGGCCACACUGGGUCUGAGACACGGCCCAGACUCUACGGGAGGCAGCAGUAGGGAAUCUUCCACAAUGGACGAAAGUCUGAUGGAGCAACGCCGCGUGAGUGAAGAAGG
rnacentral:rRNA from 1 species